rnacentral:rRNA from 1 species
GGCCCGCACAACCGGUGGAACAUGUGGUUCAAUUCGAUGAUACGCGAGGAACCUUACGUGGGCUUAAAUGUAGUUUGACUUCCGCCGAAAGGCGGUUUUCACUUCGGGACAAAUUACAAGGUGCUGCACGUCUGGUCGUCAGCUCGUGCCGUGAGGUAUCGGGUUAAGUCCCUUAACGAGCGCAACCCCUAUUGUUAGUUACCAACAGGUUAAGCUGGGGACUCUAGCAAAACUGCCAGCGUAAGCUGGAGGAAGGUGGGGAUGACGUCAAGUCAGCAUGGCCCUUAUGUCCAGGGCUACACACGUGUUACAAUGGCCGAUACAAAGGGCAGCCACCACGCGAGUGGGAGCUAAUCAUUAAAAUCGGUCUCAGUUCGGAUCGAAGUCUGCAAUUCGACUUCGUGAAGGUGGAAUCGGUAGUAAUCGCGCAUCAGCAAUGGCGCGGUGAUACGUUCCCGGGCCUUGUACACACUGCCCGUCAAGCCAUGGAAAUUGGUGUUGC